GUCUUUGCACAAUGGCAAGAUCGUAGCCUAUGAGGUUUAACCAAGGCAUGAUUAUUGCUGGUUGAAAACAAUAUUUUAUUAG
rnacentral:snRNA from 1 species